rnacentral:misc_RNA from 1 species
GAUGAAGAACGUAGUGAAAUGCGAUAAGUAAUGUGAAUUGCAGAAUUCAGUGAAUCAUCGAGUCUUUGAACGCACAUUGCGACCCCUGGUAUUCCGGGGGGCAUGCCUGUCCGAGCGUCAUUGCCGCCCUCAAGCACGGCUUGUGUGUUGGGCCCCCGCCCCCCGGCUUCGGGGGGCGGGCCCGAAAGGCAGCGGCGGCACCGCGUCCGGUCCUCGAGCGUAUGGGGCUUCGUCACCCGCUCUGUAGGCCCGGCCGGCGCCCGCCGGCGACCCCAAUCAAUCUUUCCAGGUUGACCUCGGAUCAGGUAGGGAUACCCGCUGAACUUAAGCAUAUCAAUAAGCGGAGGA